UACGAAGGGGGCUAGCGUUGCUCGGAAUCACUGGGCGUAAAGCGCACGUAGGCGGCUUACUAAGUCAGGGGUGAAAUCCUGGAGCUCAACUCCAGAACUGCCUUUGAUACUGGCGGCCUUGAGUCCGGGAGAGGUGAGUGGAACUGCGAGUGUAGAGGUGAAAUUCGUAGAUAUUCGCAAGAACACCAGUGGCGAAGGCGGCUCACUGGCCCGGUACUGACGCUGAGGUGCGAAAGCGUGGGGAGCAAACAGG
rnacentral:rRNA from 1 species